GGCAAACAAUAACGAGGAGCUUGGAACAACAGCGAUUGGAUGAGAGGGGGAGAGAGAGAGAGAAAGGGGAGAGAGAGACACAGAGAGAGGGGAGAGAGAAAGUGAGACAGAGAAAGACUACACAAAACCGCACAUCCAAACUGAACAACUUUAGUUUGGGAUAGCCUUUAGCAUUUAAUAUUGUCACCGAUAAAAGGCCUACAUUGUAGGCCCACAGUACAGUUUGUUUUGUUCAACGUACAGAGAAAGAAAGAAACAGAACGACGGACAGAAGGGCAGACAGAAAGAAGGACAGACAGAAUGCGCAAGACCGUCCGGGUAAAACAAACGUAUUCAAGUGCUGCGGGCGAUGACUGCAGGAUGGUGUCGGGGUGCGAGGAGUGGUGCGUGGAGUGGUGCGUGGAGUGCCAUCCGUCCGUGCAUCAGUGUUGACGGGGGACUCCGGCCGUCGUGUGCUGCGCACGGCGUGAGGACCAGAGAGACAGGCCGUGACUACAAAGCCGUCUCUGAACCACAGGCCUGUGCCAGCAUGAUUUAUCUUCCUAGUGCUGGUUGCUUCUUCGAUCCUGUGCACCCACCACCACCACCACCACCACCACCACCACCACUACCUCCAACUCCGAAGUUGACAGUCUAUGCUGUCACCCAGCUUGGGUGCCGAUUUGCUUAGACUCUCCCAGUUUGAUCCCACGACUAUGUAUCACUGCCUUCCCAUCUUCUUUUCUCCCUCACACUCAAUUCAAUGGAAUUUAAUACGAUUCAAAUCCAAAUAGUUAUAUUGGCAUGGAGAAUCAACACGUAGGCCUAGAUUGCCAGAGUGGGAUAAAAGUGUAGAAAAAGGAAACAUAACCAAGUAACAUGCCGGUCUCACAAGCAUUCUCCUGAGUUCUAGCACCGUGUUUAGUCUUUGCUUGUGGUGUGUGGUGUGUUUCAACUCUCUCUCGGUUUCCGCCUGGUCGCUACUAGCCCCACUAGUGUUUCUCUAAAACUCUGCUGGCACGGCUCCCUGCCUCCGUCCUCCUCUACUUUCUGACACUCUCCGUGUCCCUGGUGGUGAACUUCCUCCUGUGUGCUUCCAUCUGCCCCUUUCCCACCUCUCCCACUCCCUUCCAACAGACCCACCUACUCAACGGGUGCUCACAGCACAC
ensembl:lncRNA